ACAGAGGUCUCAAGCGUUGUUCGGAUUCAUUGGGCGUAAAGGGUGCGUAGGCGGCGUGGUAAGUUGAGUGUGAAAUCCUAGGGCUUAACCUUAGAACUGCACUCAAUACUGCCAUGCUAGAGGAAUGUAGAGGAGAGUGGAAUUCACGGUGUAGCAGUGAAAUGCGUAGAUAUCGUGAGGAAGACCAGUUGCGAAGGCGACUCUCUGGGCAUUUCCUGACGCUGAGGCACGAAGGCCAGGGGAGCAAACGGGAUUAGAUACCCCGGUAGUCCUGGCAGUAAACGGUGCACGUUUGGUGUGGGCGGGUUCAGACCCCGUCCGUGCCGGAGCUAACGCGUUAAACGUGCCGCCUGGGAAGUACGGUCGCAAGAUUA
rnacentral:rRNA from 1 species